rnacentral:rRNA from 1 species
AGGGAAUCUUCCACAAUGGGCGCAAGCCUGAUGGAGCAACGCCGCGUGUGUGAUGAAGGCUUUCGGGUCGUAAAGCACUGUUGUAUGGGAAGAAAUGCUAAAAUAGGGAAUGAUUUUAGUUUGACGGUACCAUACCAGAAAGGGACGGCUAAAUACGUGCCAGCAGCCGCGGUAAUACGUAUGUCCCGAGCGUUAUCCGGAUUUAUUGGGCGUAAAGCGAGCGCAGACGGUUGAUUAAGUCUGAUGUGAAAGCCCGGAGCUCAACUCCGGAAUGGCAUUGGAAACUGGUUAACUUGAGUGUUGUAGAGGUAAGUGGAACUCCAUGUGUAGCGGUGGAAUGCGUAGAUAUAUGGAAGAACACCAGUGGCGAAGGCGGCUUACUGGACAACAACUGACGUUGAGGCUCGAAAGUGUGGGUAGCAAACAGGAUUAGAUACCCUGGUAGUCCACACCGUAAACGAUGAAUACUAGGUGUUAGGAGGUUUCCGCCUCUUAGUGCCGAAGCUAACGCAUUAAGUAUUCCGCCUGGGGAGUACGACCGCAAGGUUGAAACUCAAAGGAAUUGACGGGGACCCGCACAAGCGGUGGAGCAUGUGGUUUAAUUCGAAGCAACGCGAAGAACCUUACCAGGUCUUGACAUCCUUUGAAGCUUUUAGAGAUAGAAGUGGUCUCUUCGGAGACAAAGUGACAGGUGGUGCAUGGUCGUCGUCAGCUCGUGUCGUGAGAUGUUGGGUUAAGUC